rnacentral:rRNA from 1 species
GACGAACGCUGGCGGCGUGCUUAACACAUGCAAGUCGAACGGAAAGGCCCUGCUUUUGUGGGGUGCUCGAGUGGCGAACGGGUGAGUAACACGUGAGUAACCUGCCCUUGACUUUGGGAUAACUUCAGGAAACUGGGGCUAAUACCGGAUAGGAGCUCCUGCUGCAUGGUGGGGGUUGGAAAGUUUCGGCGGUUGGGGAUGGACUCGCGGCUUAUCAGCUUGUUGGUGGGGUAGUGGCUUACCAAGGCUUUGACGGGUAGCCGGCCUGAGAGGGUGACCGGCCACAUUGGGACUGAGAUACGGCCCAGACUCCUACGGGAGGCAGCAGUGGGGAAUAUUGCACAAUGGGCGGAAGCCUGAUGCAGCAACGCCGCGUGCGGGAUGACGGCCUUCGGGUGGUAAACCGCUUUCGCCUGUGACGAAGCGUGAGGGACGGUAAUGGGUAAAGAAACGCCGGCGAACUACGU